rnacentral:rRNA from 1 species
GGAUACUGGAAACCGGAGCUAAUACCGGAUAAUAUUUCGAACCGCAUGGUUCGAUAGUGAAAGAUGGUUUUGCUAUCACUUAUAGAUGGACCUGCGCCGUAUUAGCUAGUUGGUAAGGUAACGGCUUACCAAGGCGACGAUACGUAGCCGACCUGAGAGGGUGAUCGGCCACACUGGAACUGAGACACGGUCCAGACUCCUACGGGAGGCAGCAGCU